UAAAUGCGAUAAGUAGUGUGAAUUGCAGAAUUCAGUGAAUCAUCGAAUCUUUGAACGCACAUUGCGCCCCUUGGUAUUCCAUGGGGCAUGCCUGUUCGAGCGUCAUUUGUACCCUCAAUCUCUGCUUGGUGUUGGGUGUUUGUCCCGUCUCCGCGCGUGGACUCGCCCCAAAGUGAUUGGCAGCCGGCGUACUGGUCCCGGAGCGCAGCACAUGUCGCGCAAACGAGUGCCUUGGUACGGCGGCGUCCAUAAGCCCCUCUCUCACGCUCUUGACCUCGGAUCAGGUAGGGAUACCCGCUGAACUUAAGC
rnacentral:misc_RNA from 1 species